GGUUCGUAAUAAAUAAGCAUUGGGUUGCGAUAAACAUAUAGGUAAGAGACAUAUCUUUUUUAUACCGAUCACAUAAAGCAAACAAGGUACACUUGCAUAAAUUAAAAUACUAACGAUUAUAGCAAUUAGGCUAACUUGCAAAAUUAUGAUAAGCUCAAACCAAACUGCCGUGACGAGAUUUACGAAAGUAGCAUGAGUUUCG
rnacentral:lncRNA from 1 species